AGUGAACGCUGGCGGCAGGCCUAACACAUGCAAGUCGAACGGCAGCACGGCAGUAGCAAUACUGUGGGUGGCGAGUGGCGGACGGGUGAGGAAUACAUCGGGAUCUACCCUGUUGUGGGGGGAUAACGUAGGGAAACUUACGCUAAUACCGCAUAAGAACUGAGGUUGAAAGCGGCGGACCGCAAGGCGUCGCGCGAUUGGAUGAACCGAUGUCCGAUUAGCUAGUUGGCGGGGUAAAGGCCCACCAAGGCGACGAUCGGUAGCUGGUCUGAGAGGACGACCAGCCACACUGGAACUGAGACACGGUCCAGACUCCUACGGGAGGCAGCAGUGGGGAAUAUUGGACAAUGGGCGCAAGCCUGAUCCAGCCAUGCCGCGUGGGUGAAGAAGGCCUUCGGGUUGUAAAGCCUGUCGGGAGGGACGGAAUUCUGACGGUACCGUCCCAACGAAAGCACCGGCUAACUACGUGCCAGCAGCCGCGGU
rnacentral:rRNA from 1 species